AAAUUCUGAACAUUUUAGUACUUGAAAGUUUGGUUUGUUAAUUGAACAAUGUGGGCUCCUCCACCACCUCCAAUGGCUGACAACAUACAAGGAAUUCACACAGAUGAAAUCCAAAUUUGAGAAUAUUAGAGGCUUUAAAAUUGUUGUGAUGCUAUUGAUGCCACUCGUAUAUUAUGAAGUUGCCGUCAGCAACGGAUCGAAGAACAACUGAUGUUUGGCUUGACGUUAAGGACAACCACAUUAUGAUUUUGCUGGUGAUUGUUGACCCUGCCAUGAGAUUCCGUGAUGUAGUUAUGGGAUAUACCGGGUAAAUCGAUGAAGCACCCAUUCUUAAAAAAACUAAUUUUUAUGAUUUAUCAUAGAAACGAAAGAGGCUAAACGAAGUUGGUGGCACAUCGGGCUUUGGCCUACUUGAAAGAUGUCUAGAAGAUGAUUCAUGGAGUGAUGUGGGGACCUGACAGAUUAUAAAGGUUGCUAAUGCAAGUGUUACAAAAACGGAUGUUUUUUUAGAGAAAGCUUGCCACACACGUAUAUUGGAUCACUUUGCCGAUCAUGCUGAUGAUUCUGGAUCUAAUCAAGUUGCUAAAGAUUGUUAAUUACCUCUAUUUCAUAACUCUCUACAACGAUUGAAAUCUACUAUUUGUCCGACUUGAGAUUGACAUGAGAUUCUCUAUUUAUGGGUGAAUAUUGUUGUUGAUUUGAUUUAGAAGAAACGGAUGCAAGUUUAUUGUAAAAGUUUUUGUUCGAGCACUAAUGAAAGCGUCUAAUGUGCCAAUAUGUACCCUGUUGCAACGCGCUGGAUACUUUUACUAGUUUAUGUUACUUUGAAACUUUUGUAAAUUUAUGUUACUUUGAAACCUUGGUAAUUUAUAUUCUUGGG
rnacentral:lncRNA from 1 species